rnacentral:sRNA from 1 species
CCGCCGAAUACCAAGGAUGGAGGCGGGGGACCCAACCGGUCCACCGAUUUUCGGACCAGGAGCCUGCGGGCUCCUUGGGGUGAAGCCUGCGCUGUGUCCUCCGGGACCACGUGGGCCGGGCAACCUCUCCAGCCCGAACCCGACAGCUGACCUCGUGGGCGCGCAUAGAGAGGA